GGGUCGUUAGCUCAGUCGGUAGAGCAGUUGACUUUUAAUCAAUUGGUCGCUGGUCUGAAUCCAGCACGACCCACCA
rnacentral:tRNA from 1 species